rnacentral:snoRNA from 1 species
AUCAGCUGUUUGUUUUUGUUUAAUUUGUGGACAAAGACUUAUAGACAGGUGCAAAAAUAAAUCCUCUUUUGCAACCCAGAACUCAUUGUUCAGUAUGAGUUUUGAUACAGAUAAGAAGGAACAUG